GAUCCUGGCUCAGGAUGAACGCUGGCGGCGUGCUUAACACAUGCAAGUCGAACGAUUGAAGCUGGAGCUUGCUCCGGCCGAUUUAGUGGCGGACGGGUGAGUAACGCGUGGGUAACCUGCCUCAUACAGGGGAAUAGCAGUUGGAAACGACUGGUAAAACCGCAUAAGCGCACAGUGUCGCAUGACUUUAUAGCCAAAGCUCCGGCGGUGUAUGAUGGAUCCGCGUCUGAUUAGGCAGUUGGCGGGGUAACGGCCCACCAAACCGACGAUCAGUAGCCGACCUGAGAGGGUGACCGGCCACAUUGGGACUGAGACACGGCCCAGACUCCUACGGGAGGCAGCAGUGGGGAAUAUUGCACAAUGGAGGAAACUCUGAUGCAGCGACGCCGCGUGAGCGAUGAAGUAUUUCGGUAUGUAAAGCUCUAUCAGCAGGGAAGAUAAUGACGGUACCUGACUAAGAAGCUCCGGCUAAAUACGUG
rnacentral:rRNA from 1 species